rnacentral:rRNA from 1 species
GACGUAGGGGGCAAGCGUUGUCCGGAAUUAUUGGGCGUAAAGCGCUCGUAGGCGGCCCUUUAAGUCGGUGACGAAAGACCUGGGCUCAACUCAGGGAACGGCAUCGAUACUAUUGGUCUUGAGGUAAGUAGAGGAUGAUGGAAUUCCAGGUGUAGCGGUGAAAUGCGUAGAUAUCUGGAGGAACACCGGUGGCGAAGGCGGCAUCCUGGACCGACACUGACGCUGAGGAGCGAAAGCCAGGGGAGCAAACAGG